AAAAUAGAAAAGAAAGAAUGAGACGGGAAUGCUAUUACGAACACAUGCUAUAUAUGUGAAAAUUAAUAAGCUCUAUUUUAGAAACACCACUCCUGACUGGAGCUUAAAACAUGACAGUAAAAGCAGGAGCCUCCGGUGCUUCUGAAUUUUCUUUUAAACUCUACGUCUAAGCUUUCUAGUUUACUGUGAUUGUCAAUUUGCUACAUAUACACACACUGACUUGUCAAAUAAUAGAACAGUAUAUCCAACAUCACCAUGACAAUUAAUGGGCGGCUCCACACUUUUUGUUGACAGAAAUAGAGAAGGAAUGAAACUUAAAAGGUAGCAUGGCCACAAUCAAGCAUACCGGCACACUUCCGACUACACCGGACACAACCAGCUGCGCCGAUCUCCAUCUAGCCUAGAGCUAGACGAAUAAACACUAAACACACAUGACCACACAAUGGCAUGACCAACUAAAAGAGAAAUAUGGGGAACCAUAUGACGAACUCCACCGAUGUGACACAAAGUCAUUGAUGAUAGUAAGCAAAAGACCAAAUCGAACACAGCCGCACACCUAAACAUAAAUUGACACCUCAAACCGCCUGGUGAGGCUAAAACUACCAUGCUUUAUUCAGUCAUAAAAAAUGCUUUUGUACUAAGCUGCGAAAUUUUUCUAUUUCCAGAACUAAUGGGUUCGGAGCAUAUUGCCCAGAUGAGGAAAUUGCAAGAACAAAAAUAUGAAAAUAACACAUGAAAGGUUGACAAAUGAAAAAUAUGGAUCCUUGCCUUAAUGCAUCACAAGUUCAAAUCCUUGGCACUCAACUCGGCAAGUAAAUUCAGAAUCCCUACAUC
rnacentral:lncRNA from 1 species